AUGCGAAAUGUGAAUUAUAGUAUUUUUUCUUGUGGGAAUGGAAAUGAAAAACAUGAGAUACUUUUUCUAGAAAUAUGGACUAAUGGAAGUCUAACCCCUAAGGAAGCACUUUAUGAGGCUUCUCGUAAUUUGACUGAUUUAUUUCUUCCUUUUCUACACGCGGAGAGGGUAGCAUUAUCAAAAGAAGGAAAUUUGCAACGCUCUAAAUUUCUCUAUUUUGAUUCUUUUUUUAGGGAUUGCGCUGUUACUAUACCUGCUUUCGCUAUUGCAGGAAAUAGAAUAAUUACAAAUUCCGUGUGA
rnacentral:rRNA from 1 species